UAAUACGUAACCCCUAAGUUGUUUCCACUCAUAUUGGGCCUAAAACAUCUGUAGCCUGUUUUGUGAGUCUUUAGUGAAAUCGGUUGGCUCAACUGACCGAAUUGCUAAAGAUACUGCAUAACUAGAGGAAGGAAGACGUGAAGGGAAUUUUCGGGGUAACGGUGAAAUGUUAUGAUCCCGGAAGGACCACCAGUAGCGAAGGCGCUUCACGAGGACUAUCCUGACGGUGAGAGAUGAAAGCUGGGGGAGCGACCAGGAUUAGAUACCCUGUUAGUCCCAGCCGUAAACGAUGCGGACUAGGUGUUCUUUUCCCUAUAUGGGUCUGGAGUGCCGAAGCGAAGGCGUUAAGUCUGCUGCCUGGGGAGUACGCUCGCAAGGGUG
rnacentral:rRNA from 1 species